rnacentral:tRNA from 1 species
GGAGAGGUGCGAGAGCGGCUGAAUCGGGCUGCCUGCUAAGCAGUUGUCCUGGCAACGGGACCGUGGGUUCGAAUCCCACCCUCUCCGCCA